rnacentral:lncRNA from 1 species
CUUCAAUGCGCUGCACCUGUUCCUGCACAGCCUGGUGGAGCAUCUGCGCCUGCAGGAGGCGAGGAAGGAGGUGUCGGUGGAGGAGCUGGCGUUCAUCAAGCCGCCCCCCAGCUCCGCGGCCUCCGCUGCCACCUCAGCCACCGAGACCCUCCCCGCGGUGCAGAACUCCAGCUCCAUCUUCCACCAGAUGCACGAGAGGAUCACUGCCAUCGAGAGGCAGCUCCGGUUCCUGAAUGAGCCCCCUGACACCGCCGAGCUGCUGGCCCGCAGCCAGGGCAUGGGCCAGCCCGCCCUGGACAUGUGGCAGAUGAUGCAGCUGAAGAAGAAGCUGGAGCUGAAUGAGGAGGGCAUGACCAAGGCCAUGAACACGUUGCAGGACCUGCUGAAUAGCAUUUGUUCUCUGAAAAUCGCCACGGAGGGCUUUCAGCAAGAACUGGCGCAGCUGAAAGAAGACGUUGCCCAGAUCAACGCAGAAGAAAUGAAAAAGCGGCUGAAGUGCCUGGACAAACAAGCCAGGAUGAUGGAAGAAAUGAAGGAGCAACUGGGGCUCGUGAAAGAAAGGGUCAGCCUGUCUGCCAGUGCCUCGGAUGUGGUGUGCUGGAGUGCCCUUUGCGAGACGCUCACCGGCAAAGUGAGUAUGGCUGAAUUGCAUCCUCACCCUGAAGGCCAACCUGGCACCUCUCUGU